rnacentral:rRNA from 1 species
UACGACUCCUGACAACGGAUAUCUUGGCUCUUGCAUCGAUGAAGAACGCAGCUAAAUGUGAUACUUGGUGUGAAUUGCAGAAUCCCGUGAAUCAUCGAGUCUUUGAACGCAAGUUGCGCCCGAGACCUAUCGGUUCAAGGCACGCCUGCUUGGGUGU